rnacentral:rRNA from 1 species
AUUGAACGCUGGCGGCAGGCCUAACACAUGCAAGUCGAACGAGUGGCGGACGGGUGAGUAAUGUCUGGGAAACUGCCCGAUGGAGGGGGAUAACUACUGGAAACGGUAGCUAAUACCGCAUACCAUCAGAUGUGCCCAGAUGGGAUUAGCUAGUAGGGGGGGUAACGGCUCACCUAGGCGACGAUCCCUAUCUGGUCUGAGAGGAAGACGAGCAAAACUGGAACUGAGACACUGUCCAGACUCCUACGGGAGGCAGCAGUGGGGAAUAUUGGACAAGGGGCGCAAGCCUGAUGAAGACAGGCCGCGUGUAUGAAGAAGGCAUUCGGGUUUUAAAGUACGUUCAGCGAGGAGGCGUUACUCGCAGAAGAAGCACCGGCUAACUCCGUGCCAGCAGCCGCGGUAAUAC